rnacentral:rRNA from 1 species
AAUGAACGUUGGCGGCGUGGAUUAGGCAUGCAAGUCGCGCGAGAAGUUUCCUUCGGGAGACGGACAGCGGCGGAAGGGAGAGGAAUAAGUAGAAAUCUGCCCUCGGGACGGGGAUAGCGGCGGGAAACUGCCGGUAAUACCCGAUAACAUCUUUGGAUCAAAUGGUGUGAUUCCGCCUGAGGAUGAGUCUACUUCCUAUUAGCUAGUUGGUGUGGUAAUGGCUCACCAAGGCAACGAUGGGUAGCGGGUGUGAGAGCACGAUCCGCCUCACUGGGACUGAGACACUGCCCAGACACCUACGGGUGGCUGCAGUCGAGAAUCUUCGGCAAUGGGGGAAACCCUGACCGAGCGACGCCGCGUGCGGGAUGAAGGCCCUUGGGUUGUAAACCGCUGUCGUAAGGGAACAAAUCCAUAGGGGUACUCCCCUAUGGUUGAGUGAUCUUAGGAGGAAGGACGGGCUAAGUUCGUG